CAAUAGCGUAUAUUAAAGUUGUUGCAGUUAAAAAGCUCGUUGUUGGAUUUGUGGCGUACGGUGUGUUCCGGGCACUUGUUGUCUGAGUAACCUGCUGUUGCCAUCCUUGGGUGGAACCUGUGUGGCAUUAGGUUGUCGUGCAGGGGAUGCCCAUCAUUUACUGUGAAAAAAUUAGAGUGUUCAAAGCAGGCUUAUGCCGUUGAAUAUAUUAGCAUGGAAUAAUGGGAUAGGACUUUUUUGCUAUUUUGUUGGUUUGCGCAAAGAGGUAAUGAUUAAUAGGGACAGUUGGGGGUAUUCGUAUUCCAUUGUCAGAGGUGAAAUUCUUGGAUUUUUGGAAGACGAACUACUGCGAAAGCAUUUACCAAGGAUGUUUUCAUUAA
rnacentral:rRNA from 1 species